GAAUUAACAAGGAAACUGCAUGGGUUACACUGCUCUGGGAGGGAAUGUGGCAGAAAUCAAAAAUCUGAAGCUGCUCAGGAAUUAAAGACUGCCGUACCUACAGUGCUGGAGACAGUUUAAGACCCUCAGAUUUGAGCUGCCCUAUUGAUUUGUGUCAGUGCUGAAUCUCACCAGAGUGCAGAGGAUGCUGAAGAUUGUCCUCCCCACCGUGUCACCAGUGUCACCACACUGGUUGGAGGCUGUGGACUGUCUCUCUCCCCUCUGAGAUGGAUUUCAGACACAGGAUAAAGGAGGAAAAAAGUGUUGGCAGUCCUACAAUAAUGAAUAAAAACUGGCACUGGCAAAAUUUCUUCCUUCAGGAAAUAAGGACUCCUGAGGCAGGAUGCACUUUUAUCACAUUUUGAAGAUUAUCCAGAACAAGAACUAUCAAUU
rnacentral:lncRNA from 1 species